rnacentral:rRNA from 1 species
GAUGAACGCUGGCGGCGUGCCUAAUACAUGCAAGUCGAGCGAACGGACGAGAAGCUUGCUUCUCUGACGUUAGCGGCGGACGGGUGAGUAACACGUGGAUAACCUACCUAUAAGACUGGGAUAACUUCGGGAAACCGGAGCUAAUACCGGAUAAUAUUUUGAACCGCAUGGUUCAAUAGUGAAAGACGGUCUUGCUGUCACUUAUAGAUGGAUCCGCGCUGCAUUAGCUAGUUGGUAAGGUAACGGCUUACCAAGGCAACGAUGCGUAGCCGACCUGAGAGGGUGAUCGGCCACACUGGAACUGAGACACGGUCCAGACUCCUACGGGAGGCAGCAGUAGGGAAUCUGCCGCAAUGGGCGAAAGCCUGACGGAGCAACGCCGCGUGAGUGAUGAAGGUCUUCGGAUCGUAAAACUCUGUUAUUAGGGAAGAACAUAUGUGUAAGUAACUGUGCACAUCUUGACGGUACCUAAUCAGAAAGCCACGGCUAACUACGUG